CAAUAGCGUAUAUUUAAGUUGCUGCAGUUAAAAAGCUCGUAGUUGGAUUUCGGGUGGGAAUGGCCGGUCCGCCGUUUCGGUGUGCACUUGCUACGCCCACCUUGCUGCCGGGGACGUGCUCUUGAGUUCACGCUCGGGACACGGAGUCGGCGAGGUUACUUUGAGUAAAUUAGAGUGUUCAAAGCAGGCCUACGCUCUGAAUACAUUAGCAUGGAAUAACACGAUAGGACUCUGGCCUAUCUUGUUGGUCUGUAGGACCGGAGUAAUGAUUAAGAGGGACAGUCGGGGGCAUUCGUAUUUCAUUGUCAGAGGUGAAAUUCUUGGAUUUAUGAAAGACGAACUACUGCGAAAGCAUUCGCCAGGGAUGUUUUCAUUAA
rnacentral:rRNA from 1 species